AUACGGAGGGUGCAAGCGUUACUCGGAAUCACUGGGCGUAAAGCGCGCGCAGGCGGCUAUUUAAGUUGGAUGUGAAAGCCUAUGGCUCAACCAUAGAACUGCAUCCAAAACUAUUUAGCUAGAGUGUGGGAGAGGAAGAUGGAAUUAGUUGUGUAGGGGUAAAAUCCGUAGAGAUAACUAGGAAUACCAAAAGCGAAGGCAAUCUUCUGGAACACUACUGACGCUGAGGCGCGAAAGCGUGGGGAGCAAACCGGAUUAGAUACCCGCGUAGUCC
rnacentral:rRNA from 1 species